rnacentral:lncRNA from 1 species
GAGUCCGGGUGAAGCCUUCCAGCAGUUGAGGUCAGGGAUGAAGUCUGGCUCCCGUAGGAGUCUGGACGAAGUCUUCCUGCGGCCAGAGUCGGAGACGAGAUCUGGCUCCCGUAGGAGUCCGGGUGAAGUCUACCUGCAAUUAAAGUCAGGGGCAAAGUCUGGCUCCCUUAGGAGUCCGAACGAAGUUUACCAGCAGUUGAGGUCGGGGAUGGAGCUCGGCUCCCGUAGGAGUCCGGGCGAAGCCUUCCAGCAG